UACGUAGGGCGCAAGCGUUGUCCGGAAUUAUUGGGCGUAAAGAGCUCGUAGGCGGCUUGUCGCGUCGGUUGUGAAAGCCCGGGGCUUAACCCCGGGUCUGCAGUCGAUACGGGCAGGCUAGAGUGUGGUAGGGGAGAUCGGAAUUCCUGGUGUAGCGGUGAAAUGCGCAGAUAUCAGGAGGAACACCGGCGGCGAAGGCGGAUCUCUGGGCCAUUACUGACGCUGAGGAGCGAAAGCGUGGGGAGCGAACAGG
rnacentral:rRNA from 1 species